AAGUCGUAACAAGGUUUCCGUAGGUGAACCUGCGGAAGGAUCAUUACAUGGUUUGGUUGGUUGGUUGGUUGGAGGGUGGAAACACUUGCCAAUACAACACCACAUUCGCGCUUGUCUUGUUUCACAGAGUAAAUUACAUAAAAACAAUGAUAACUUUUAACAAUGGAUCUCUGGGCUCUU
rnacentral:misc_RNA from 1 species